rnacentral:rRNA from 1 species
UACGUAGGGUGCAAGCGUUAAUCGGCAUUACUGGGCGUAAAGCGUGCGCAGGCGGUGAUGUAAGACAGUUGUGAAAUCCCCGGGCUCAACCUGGGAACUGCAUCUGUGACUGCAUCGCUGGAGUACGGUAGAGGGGGAUGGAAUUCCGCGUGUAGCAGUGAAAUGCGUAGAUAUGCGGAGGAACACCGAUGGCGAAGGCAAUCCCCUGGACCUGUACUGACGCUCAUGCACGAAAGCGUGGGGAGCAAACAGG